rnacentral:rRNA from 1 species
UGUAUCCGCCGUAAAUCUAAGGUUUCCUACGCGAUGGUCGUCAUCGUAGGGUUAGUCGGGUCCUAAGCCGAGUCCGAAAGGGGUAGGUGAUGGCAAAUUGGUUAAUAUUCCAAUACCGACUAUGGAGCGUGAUGGGGGGACGCAUAGGGUUAAGCGAGCUAGCUGAUGGAAGCGCUAGUCUAAGGGCGUAGAUUGGAGGGAAGGCAAAUCCACCUCUGUAUUUGAAACCCAAACAGGCUCUUUGAGUCCUUUUAGGACAAAGGGAGAAUCGCUGAUACCGUCGUGCCAAGAAAAGCCUCUAAGCAUAUCCAUAGUCGUCCGUACCGCAAACCGACACAGGUAGAUGAGAUGAGUAUUCUAAGGCGCGUGAAAGAACUCUGGUUAAGGAACUCUGCAAACUAGCACCGUAAGUUCGCGAUAAGGUGUGCCGCAGCAAUGCGGUCUCAGCAAAGAGUCCCUCCCGACUGUUUACCAAAAACACAGCACUUUGCCAACUCGUAAGAGGAAGUAUAAGGUGUGACGCCUGCCCGGUGCUCGAAGGUUAAGAGGAUGCGUCAGUCGCAAGAUGAAGCGUUGAAUUGAAGCCCGAGUAAACGGCGGCCGUAACUAUAACGGUCCUAAGGUAGCGAAAUUCCUUGUCGGUUAAAUACCGACCUGCAUGAAUGGCGUAACGAGAUGGGAGCUGUCUCAACCAGAGAUUCAGUGAAAUUGUAGUGGAGGUGAAAAUUCCUCCUACCCGCGGCAAGACGGAAAGACCCCGUGGACCUUUACUACAACUUAGCACUGCUAAUGGGAAUAUCAUGCGCAGGAUAGGUGGGAGGCUUUGAAGUAAGGGCUUUGGCUCUUAUGGAGCCAUCCUUGAGAUACCACCCUUGAUGUUUCUGUUAGCUAACUGGCCUGUGUUAUCCACAGGCAGGACAAUGCUUGGUGGGUAGUUUGACUGGGGCGGUCGCCUCCUAAAAAGUAACGGAGGCUUGCAAAGGUUGGCUCAUUGCGGUUGGAAAUCGCAAGUUGAGUGUAAUGGCACAAGCCAGCCUGACUGUAAGACAUACAAGUCAAGCAGAGACGAAAGUCGGUCAUAGUGAUCCGGUGGUUCUGUGUGGAAGGGCCAUCGCUCAAAGGAUAAAAGGUACCCCGGGGAUAACAGGCUGAUCUCCCCCAAGAGCUCACAUCGACGGGGAGGUUUGGCACCUCGAUGUCGGCUCAUCGCAUCCUGGGGCUGGAGCAGGUCCCAAGGGUAUGGCUGUUCGCCAUUUAAAGCGGUACGCGAGCUGGGUUCAGAACGUCGUGAGACAGUUCGGUCCCUAUCUGCCGUGGGCGUAGGAAAGUUGAGGAGAGCUGUCCCUAGUACGAGAGGACCGGGAUGGACGUGUCACUGGUGCACCAGUUGUUCUGCCAAGAGCAUCGCUGGGUAGCUACACACGGAUGUGAUAACUGCUGAAAGCAUCUAAGCAGGAAGCCAACUCCAAGAUAAACUUUCCCUGAAGCUCGCACAAAGACUAUGUGCUUGAUAGGGUAGAUGUGUGAGUGCAGUAAUGCGUUUAGCUGACUACUACUAAUAGAGCGUUUGGCUUGUUU